AGCAAAAUAACAAGGAGAACUAAAAAAGGGUGGCACAGUGCACGAGGCUCCCACUUAGUGGGCUUGGUGGAGGGUAUAUGUAUGCAGCCUUACCCCCGAAAACAGAGAGGUUGUUUUCAAGAUUUGAACCCAUGACUUCAUGGUCACUAAGAAACAACCUUACCAUUGCACCAAGCUCACCCGAACAAAUUACAAGCAAAAUUUCAUGUGGGAAAAACAUAAGAUGACAUUAAACAAUUAGAUUAUUAACCAUAAUAUUUCAAGCAUCAAGUCUCUUGGAGAAGUUUCAUCUUAUAUAUGCCUAACUUUCAGCACGGGCAAUAAAUAUAUUAUUUUAGUAAAAUACUAGUAUGACUGUAUGAAACAACUUUAAGAGAAUAAAUGACAAGCCCUCGCCAACACUUGACACUGUUGCAAAUCUUAGCAUCAUAUGGCGACUCUCACCCUCAAAUUUGACAUUAUUACAAGGAAUGGUGAAUUUAAGAGUUUCAGUUAUGAUGAGCUCGUGGUGAUAAAUAUAUUCACAUAAUUUAUGAUAUCCUUAAAAUAGAAGACAAAUAUCAAAUGAAAGGAUUAUAAUCAUCAUAAAUGAAAUCCCUUCAUAUAAUAACUAUUGAAUAUAUGUAAUAUCUAGUGUAUGUAGACUUGGGUGCUGUCUUUGUGAGUUUGUGUACAGCAGAUACAAUGUAGAGUCAUUAACUGCUGAGUAGAGUGCCAAUGAUGAUUCCAAUCAGUAGGUGAAGAGGUCUGAUGAGGAUUCCUCUCCUGGGAGAAGAGUGCCAAUGAUGAUUCCAAUCAGUAGGUGAAGAGGCCCGAUGAGGAUUCCUCUCGAUGGGAGAAGAGUUUCGAUGAUGAUUCCAAUCAGUGGGUGAAGAGCUACAAUGAUGAGGAUUAGGAGAAGAGUUCUGAUGAUGAGGACUCCAAUCAUUUGUAGUAGAGAAUUGAUGAGGGUUCCGAUUAGAGGUGUUGAAGAAGAGAAUUGAUGAGAGUUCCGAUUAGAGGUGCCAGCGUUAGAAGCAUGAACACUAGCACCGACGGGUUUUUGCAGUGGAUUAUAUGGUGUGGAAGCCAUAGAAAUGCUCUUUUAAACUCUGAUUACCAUAAUAUGAAGUGUAGAAUGGGAGAAAGUUGAGACAAAAGAAGAGAGAGAAUUGGGGAGUGAUUCUCAAUGAUUGAAUGAAACUAUUACAUUCGGCGGUUUAUAUAAGAAACUAAGUAACAGCUUCUGUCAUCUUCUCAAUGUAUACUGAAUCAGUGAAUCCUAACUAAUGGCUGAGUCAGAACUACUCAGAAGACAAUAGCUCUACAGUGUAUCUGGUGUACACAAAACUAAUUAAGACAGCACCCAAGUCUACAUAUAUUCCAAUGAAGACUAACAGUAUGACCUGUACACCUCGAUGGAGAUUUAGCAUAAUUUAAUUGAAAAACAGUUUGAAUCAUACAGCUUAAUUUCCAUGAGAAAGGUAGAUUUUUUUCAUCAUAAUAUUCCAGGAAAAUAUCUUUAUUAUACGGAAGUCAUAUGAUCAUAUUAACAUUACCUUUGACGAAUUUUCUCAAGCUCCCUCGGAUCAUUGACUAAUAC
rnacentral:lncRNA from 1 species